rnacentral:rRNA from 1 species
UGGUGAAGCGAUUUGUCUGGUUUAUUCCGAUAACGAACGAGACCUAUUCCUGCAAAUUAGCCGCAUGGUAUUAUUUAUCACCUGUCUCAGGAGUGGCUUCUUUGAGAGACAUUACGAGCAAACUCGUACGGAAGAUGUAGGCAAUAACA